AACGAACGCUGGCGGCAGGCCUAACACAUGCAAGUCGAACGCUUACUUCGGUAAGAGUGGCAGACGGGUGAGUAACACGUGGGAAUCUACCUAUCUCUACGGAACAACACAUAGAAAUGUGUGCUAAUACCGUAUACGCCCUUCGGGGGAAAGAUUUAUCGGUGAUAGAUGAGCCCGCGUUUGAUUAGCUAGUUGGUGAGGUAAUGGCUCACCAAGGCGACGAUCAAUAGCUGGUCUGAGAGGAUGAUCAGCCACACUGGGACUGAGACACGGCCCAGACUCCUACGGGAGGCAGCAGUGGGGAAUAUUGGACAAUGGGCGCAAGCCUGAUCCAGCCAUGCCGCGUGUGUGAUGAAGGCCCUAGGGUUGUAAAGCACUUUCAACGGUGAAGAUAAUGACGGUAACCGUAGAAGAAGCCCCGGCUAACUUCG
rnacentral:rRNA from 1 species